UCCUACGGGGCGCAGCAGUGGGGAAUAUUGCACAAUGGGGGGAACCCUGAUGCAGCGACGCCGCGUGAGUGAAGAAGUAUUUCGGUACGUAAAGCUCUAUCAGCAGGGAAGAAAAAAGGACGGUACCUGAGUAAGAAGCCCCGGCUAACUACGUGCCAGCAGCCGCGGUAAUACGUAGGGGGCAAGCGUUAUCCGGAUUUACUGGGUGUAAAGGGAGCGUAGACGGGCCAGCAAGUCUGAUGUGAAAACCCGGGGCCCAACCCCGGGAGUGC
rnacentral:rRNA from 1 species